rnacentral:rRNA from 1 species
GAACUGAAACACGGUCCAUACACCUACGGGUGGCAGCAGUAGGGAAUAUUGCUUAAUGGGCGAAAGCCUGAAGCAGCAACGCCGCGUGUGCGAUGAAGGCCUUCGGGUUGUAAAGCACUUUUGAUCGGGAAGAGGAAGGACGGUACCGGUCGAAUAAGCCUCGGCUAACUACGUGCCAGCAGCCGCGGUAAAACGUAGGAGGCGAGCGUUAUCCGGAUUUACUGGGUGUAAAGCGCGUGCAGGCGGUUUGUUAAGUUGGAUGUGAAAGCUCCUGGCUCAACUGGGAGAGGUCGUUCAAGACUGGCAGACUGGAGAGCAGUAAGGGAAGGUGGAAUUCCGGGUGUAGUGGUGAAAUGCGUAGAUAUCCGGAGGAACACCAGUGGCGAAGGCGGCCUUCUGGACUGCAUCUGACGCUCAGACGCGAAAGCUAGGGGAGCAAACGGGAUUAGAGACCCCGGUAGUCCUAGCCGUAAACAAUGUGAACUUGGCGCUGGGUGGGUAAAACUAUUCAGUGCCGGAGCAAACGCGAUAAGUUCMCCACCUGAGGACUACGGCCGCAAGGUUAAAACUCAAAGGAAUUGAUGG